UACGUAGGGUGCGAGCGUUUGUCCGGAAUUACUGGGCGUAAAGAGCUCGUAGGUGGUUUGUCGCGUUGUUCGUGAAAAACCGGGGGCUUAACCCUCGGCGUGCGGGCGAUACGGGCAGACUUGAGUACUGCAGGGGAGACUGGAAUUCCUGGUGUAGCGGUGGAAUGCGCAGAUAUCAGGAGGAACACCGGUGGCGAAGGCGGGUCUCUGGGCAGUAACUGACGCUGAGGCGCGACAGCGUGGGGGAGCAAACAGG
rnacentral:rRNA from 1 species